rnacentral:rRNA from 1 species
GACGAACGCUGGCGGCGUGCCUAAUACAUGCAAGUAGAACGCAGUUGCGAACGGGUGAGUAACGCGUAGGUAACUGCCUCAUAGCGGGGGAUAACUCUUGGAAACGAUAGCUAAUACCGCAUACUGUGCGAUGGACCUGCGUUGUAUUAGUUAGUUGGUGAGGUAAAGGCUCACCAAGGCGACGAUACAUAGCCGACCUGAGAGGGGGGUCGGCCACACUGGGACUGGGAAACGGCCCAGACUCCUACGGGGAGGAGCAAUAGGGAAUCUUCGGGAAUGGACGGAAGUCUGACCGAGCAACGCCGCGGGAGUGGAGAAGGUUUUCGGGUCGUAAAGCUCUGUUGUUAGGGAAGCGGUAACUAAAGAGAAAGGGACGGCUAACUACGUGCCAGCAGCCGCGGUAAUAC